rnacentral:tRNA from 1 species
GCGGAUGUGGCGGAAUGGCAGACGCAGCAGACUCAAAAUCUGCCGGGCUAACACUCGUGAGGGUUCGAGUCCCUCUAUCCGCAGCA